UUACGCACUCCUACGGGAGGCAGCAGUGGGGAAUAUUGCACAAUGGGCGCAAGCCUGAUGCAGCCAUGCCGCGUGUAUGAAGAAGGCCUUCGGGUUGUAAAGUACUUUCAGCAGUGAGGAAGGUGGAUAUGUUAAUAGCAUAUUCAUUUGACGUUAGCUGCAGAAGAAGCACCGGCUAACUCCGUGCCAGCAGCCGCGGUAAUACGGAGGGUGCGAGCGUUAAUCGGAAUUACUGGGCGUAAAGCGCAUGCAGGUGGUUUGUUAAGUCAGAUGUGAAAGCCCGGGGCUCAACCUCGGAAUUGCAUUUGAAACUGGCAAACUAGAGUACUGUAGAGGGGGUAGAAUUUCAGGUGUAGCGGUGAAAUGCGUAGAGAUCUGAAGGAAUACCGGUGGCGAAGGCGGCCCCCUGGACAGAUACUGACACUCAGAUGCGAAAGCGUGGGGAGCAAACAGGAUUAGAUACCCUGGUAG
rnacentral:rRNA from 1 species